UGGGGAAUUUUGGACAAUGGGCGCAAGCCUGAUCCAGCAAUGCCGCGUGCAGGAUGAAGGCCUUCGGGUUGUAAACUGCUUUUGUACGGAGCGAAAAGGUCUGCCCUAAUACGGUGGGCUCAUGACGGUACCGUAAGAAUAAGCACCGGCUAACUACGUGCCAGCAGCCGCGGUAAUACGGAGGGUGCAAGCGUUAAUCGGAAUUACUGGGCGUAAAGCGCACGCAGGCGGUCUGUUAAGUCAGAUGUGAAAUCCCCGGGCUCAACCUGGGAACUGCAUUUGAAACUGGCAGGCUUGAAUCUUGUAGAGGGGGAUGGAAUUCCGCGUGUAGCAGUGAAAUGCGUAGAUAUGCGGAGGAACACCGAUGGCGAAGGCAAUCCCCUGGGCCUGUACUGACGCUCAUGCACGAAAGCGUGGGGAGCAAACA
rnacentral:rRNA from 1 species